rnacentral:rRNA from 1 species
AUGGCUGCCAUGGUUGGAGCGCGCAGGGCUCUCUUCGCCGCCCGCUACUCCCCUCGCGGCGAGCUCGCGGCCGCGCUUCUCUCCCCCGCCCGUCGAGUCGGUUCUCCUCACAGUCUUCCAGCUGAAAGAGGAUGCCCGCGUUCUUUGGUUCCAAAUCGAGGCGCUGGCAGUCGGGCAUCCGAACAAAUUGAUGGGGACUAUCACCGUGAUUGGGGUGUGCAAAACGCAGGGAACUAUGGAGAGUCCCGCUCAAAACACUCACCUGAUCAUUUCAGCCGCCCCUUGCAGAGGGACCCCCCUUCAGCUAAUUCUUCAGAAGGCAUUGAUAGAAAUAAAGGUGUGCAUGCUGAUGGCGGUGUCAAUGCACAUUAUGGAUGCAAUUCUGAACAGCCUUACCAGAGCGGACCUUACCAGAGCGGUGGAUCGUAUGGCUUACCAGAUAGUCGCCAGCCAUAUACCGGUGCAAGAAUGAAUAACGAGCCACCUGGAUAUACUGCCAGGCAAUCGUAUGGGGGCAAUAGUGCAUAUGGCCACCAAAACCCCAAGGGCGAUAUACCAAGUGCUCAUCAGCAGCAGACUGUCACACCUGCUAUUAAUGGCCUUUCUACAGAUGGUAAUGUGCGAAGAGGUCGUGACGUUACUGGAUAUGAUUGCGGCUCUGGAUACAAUUCCCGAAGUAACCAGGAGAGCUAUACUAGUGGGCAGUACGGAUAUGGCCCGUCAGCACAGUCACAUCAAAGCUCAACUGGAAGUGACCAGCAAGUCUUUCAGCAACAGAAGGUUGAUCGAAUAUCUAAUGGUAAUUACUUCAACAAGCCUGGCAAUUCUGCGUCACAGUAUCCAACUCCAAGCAGUUCCCAUAAGGAGCAUGUUGCAGGAUCUCAACAAGGCCACGAUGGUGAUUUUGGAUACAAUACCAGGCAGCCUGAUCAGGGAAGUGGUGCAUACAAUCACCCAAGUCCUAAUGGAGGUCCACCAAGUACUCAGCAGCAGCACAAUGGCACUGGAUAUGCCACACACAACUUUGGUCACAACACCCAAAGUAACCAGCAGAACUAUAAUGGUAGGCAGAAUGGAUACGGUCCUUCAGGACAGUCAUAUCAAAACUUAACUGGAAAUGUUCAGCAGCAGAAUGAUUAUCAAAGUCAUGAUCCUGCAAAUAGGCCUGCGAAUUCUGCCUCACAGUAUCCGAAUACUAGCCAUUUCCAUAAGGAGCAUGUUCCAGUAUUCCAGCAAGGCCACAAAGGUGAUUUUGGAUACAAUGCUUCACAAGCAUAUCAGAGUCAUUAUACCACUAACAAAAUUGACACGCAGAGAAAUCAUCGAGAGCAUUACAUGAAUGUAAACACAGAUGUACAGCACAGCCAUAACAGAACUUAUCCAGAAUCUCAUUCAGAUGUUCAACCUAUUACCUCAGCUGGGGACCACUUGAGCAGUAAGCCCUAUCAAGAUAACAUGUAUUUCCAGCAUUCACUGCCUGGCAGCCUGCCAAAUAAUGGAUCACCUUCUGAAGUAUCUGACGAAGCCAGCGGCAUAUCGAAAGGUACUAUUGAGGAACUGGAUAAGUUAUGUGAAGACGGGAACAUAAAAGAAGCUUUGAAAGCUCUACCGGUGCUGCAAGGAAAAGGCAUUGUACUGCAUGCUCCUCAAUACUUUAAACUGAUGCAAGCAUGCGCUGAUGCAUCUGCUCUUGCAGAAGCAAGACAAAUACAUGAUCAAAUAUCUCAAUCAGAACUAGCUGUUGACAUAGAUGUUAACAACAAAAUUUUGGACAUGUAUGCUAAAUGUGCCUCGAUGGAAGAUGCAAAGAAACUUUUCAGUACUAUGGCGCAGCAUGAUUUGACAUCUUGGAGCACUAUAAUCUCAGGGUUUGUGCAUAAUGGUCUUGGUGAAGAAGCAACUGACUUUUUUGAUCGUUUUAAGCAGACGGGAGAUAAGCCAGAUUCUGGCAUGUUCACACAUGUAUUUUUGGCCUGUGGAAUUUUGGGAUCAGUUGACGAGGGCAUGUUGCAUUUUGAAUCAAUGCAGAAGGAUUUUGGUAUAAUUCCUUCCGUGGAUCAUUAUGCGAGCAUUGUUAAUAUGCUUGGCCAGUCGGGCUAUGUUGAUGAAGCUCGUGAAUUUGUUGAACGGAUGCCUAUGGAACCGAGCGUCGAUAUCUGGGAAAGUUUGAUGAAUAUGUGCCGACUUAAUGGAUACUUAGAGCUUGGGGAUCAUUGUGCUCAGAUUAUAGAACGCCUGGAUCCUUCUAGGCUGAAUGAGCAGUCUAAAACGGGUCUUUUCCCUGUAAAUGCUCCAGACCUUGCAAAGGAGAAAGAAAGGAAAAAGGCUAAUACUGCUGAAGCUAGGAGCAAAGUUCAUGAAUACAGAGCAGGGGAUCGAUCCCAUCCAGAAACCCUUAAGAUAUAUGAAGAGCUGAGGUACUUGGCGGCUCAUAUGAAGGAGGCUGGCUAUAUUGCGGAUACUCGAUUUGUGCUUCACGAUGUUGAUCCAGAAACUAAAGAGGAUGCAUUGCUAGCUCACAGUGAGAGACUAGCUGUUAGUUAUGGUCUUAUAACUAGUGCUGUCCGUUCGCCAAUUCGGGUUAUCAAGAAUCUUCGCUCCUGUGGAGAUUGCCACACAGCUUUGAAGAUAAUCUCUAAGCUUGUUGGCCGUCAGAUCAUUGCAAGGGAUGCAAAGAGGUUCCACCAUUUUGAAAAUGGUGUGUGCUCUUGCAAAGAUUAUUGGUAA